rnacentral:rRNA from 1 species
UGGGGAAUUUUGGACAAUGGGCGAAAGCCUGAUCCAGCAAUGCCGCGUGUGUGAAGAAGGCCUUCGGGUUGUAAAGCACUUUUGUCCGGAAAGAAAUCCUUGGCUCUAAUACAGUCGGGGGAUGACGGUACCGGAAGAAUAAGCACCGGCUAACUACGUGCCAGCAGCCGCGGUAAUACGUAGGGUGCAAGCGUUAAUCGGAAUUACUGGGCGUAAAGCGUGCGCAGGCGGUUUGCUAAGACCGAUGUGAAAUCCCCGGGCUCAACCUGGGAACUGCAUUGGUGACUGGCAGGCUAGAGUAUGGCAGAGGGGGGUAGAAUUCCACGUGUAGCAGUGAAAUGCGUAGAGAUGUGGAGGAAUACCGAUGGCGAAGGCAGCCCCCUGGGCCAAUACUGACGCUCAUGCACGAAAGCGUGGGGAGCAAACAGGAUUAGAUACCCUGGUAGUCCACGCCCUAAACGAUGUCAACUAGUUGUUGGGGACUUCAUUUUCCUUAGUAACGUAGCAACGCGUGAAGUUGACCGCCUGGGGAGUACGGUCGCAAGAUUAAAACUUAAAUGAAUUGACGGGGUCAUA